AGACCGAUAGCGAACAAGUACCGUGAGGGAAAGAUGAAAAGCACUUUGGAAAGAGAGUUAACAGUACGUGAAAUUGUUGGAAGGGAAACGCUUGAAGUCAGACUUGCUUGCCGGAGCUUGCUUCGGUUUGCAGGCCAGCAUCAGUUUUCUGGGGUGGAUAAUGACGGUUUGAAGGUAGCAGUCUCGGCUGUGUUAUAGCUUUCCGUUGGAUACACCCUGGGGGACUGAGGAACGCAGCGUGCUUUUUGCGAAAGUUUCGACUUUUUCACGCUUAGGAUGCUGGUGGAAUGGCUUUAAACGACCCGUCUUGAAACACGGACCAAG
rnacentral:rRNA from 1 species